ACGACGCUGGCGGCGUGGAUUAGGCAUGCAAGUCGAACGGUAGGAUACCUUCGGGUAUCUGAGAGUGGCGAACGGGUGAGUAACACGUAGGUGAUCUACCCUCAAGAUUGGGACAACCCAGGGAAACUUGGGCUAAUACCGGAUGAAAGCAGCAGUGAUGUUGUUUGAAAGGUGGCGUAAGCUGCCGUUUGGGGAUGAGCCUGCGCUCUAUUAGUUAGUUGGCGGGGUAAAGGCCCACCAAGGCGAUGAUAGAUAGGCGGCCUUAACGGGUGGUCGCCCACACUGGGAUUGAGAUACGGCCCAGACUCCUACGGGAGGCAGCAGUCGAGAAUAGUCUACAAUGGCCGAAAGGCUGAUAGUGCGACGCCGCGUGAACGAAGAAGCCCUUCGGGGUGUAAAGUUCUUUUAUAUGUGAGCAGUGCUUUCUAUGUGAACAGCAUGGGGAGAGAGAUAUUAGCAUAUGAAUAAGCAACGGCUAACUCCGUG
rnacentral:rRNA from 1 species